CUAAUACCGCGUAAGACCACAGCUUCACAUGGAGCAGAGGUCAAAGGAGCAAUCCGGAUAAAGAUGGGCUCGCGUCCGAUUAGCUAGUUGGUGAGACAACAGCCCACCAAGGCGACGAUCGGUAGCCGACCUGAGAGGGUGAUCGGCCACAUUGGAACUGAGAUACGGUCCAGACUCCUACGGGAGGCAGCAGUGGGGAAUAUUGGGCAAUGGGCGAAAGCCUGACCCAGCAACGCCGCGUGAGGGAAGAAGGGUUUCGGCUCGUAAACCUCUGUCCUAUGGGACGAAGGAAGUGACGGUACCAUAGGAGGAAGCCCCGGCUAACUACGUGCCAGCAGCCGCGGUAAUACGUAGGGGGCGAGCGUUGUCCGGAAUGAUUGGGCGUAAAGGGCGCGUAGGCGGCCUGCUAAGUCUGGAGUGAAAGUCCUGCUUUCAAGGUGGGAAUUGCUUUGGAUACUGGUGGGCUGGAGUGCAGGAGAGGAAAGCGGAAUUACCGGUGUAGCGGUGAAAUGCGUAGAGAUCGGUAGGAACACCAGUGGCGAAGGCGGCUUUCUGGACUGAAACUGACGCUGAGGCGCGAAAGCGUGGGGAGCAAACAGGAUUAGAUACCCUGGUAGUCCACGCGGUAAACGAUGAAUGCUAGGUGUAGGAGGUAUCGACCCCUUCUGUGCCGC
rnacentral:rRNA from 1 species